rnacentral:rRNA from 1 species
UACGUAGGGUGCAAGCGUUGUCCGGAAUUAUUGGGCGUAAAGAGCUCGUAGGCGGUUUGUCGCGUCUGCUGUGAAAACCCGAGGCUCAACCUCGGGCCUGCAGUGGGUACGGGCAGACUAGAGUGCGGUAGGGGAGAUUGGAAUUCCUGGUGUAGCGGUGGAAUGCGCAGAUAUCAGGAGGAACACCGAUGGCGAAGGCAGAUCUCUGGGCCGUAACUGACGCUGAGGAGCGAAAGCAUGGGGAGCGAACAGG